CAGCCUCGCCGGAGCCAGGUCCGGGCAGCCUUCUGGUGGCGGUGCGCCGGGGUUUCCAGAACCUUAACGUGCUUUCCCUGACGCAGCACAAGGGACAGCCUUCUCUUAAGAAUGCAAGCCUGGACACCGGCCCGCCGUCUCUAUGGUUUCCCUACCCGCUUCCCCGCGACUUGGUCGGGUCUGACAGAGACGGGAGCGGGAUCGCAAAGCGGGCGCGAGGAAGGGCCGCGACCGUCCCCUGCGGUGUGGGGUGGAACUGCACGCGGGCCUCAGACCGCGAGCCUGAGGGGACGUGAGCGCACGCAUGAGGAAAACUCGAGAGACAAAUUGAGAAACUUGAGUUUCUGUAUAUAAUUCAUACCGUGAUAAAGUUGUCCCCCACUUUAAUGAAGAGGGGUAUUUCGGUGGAGCUUUGACCACACAGCAAGAAUGAAACGGAGACACUGCACUUCCCAGUUAGCUGCAACGCAGGGAAGAACGGGGACUCUGGGACUGCCCAAUAGCACGGCUCUUGCUGCUGACUUUGGUCUGGAGUCCACUUUUUGAUUUGGUCGGGAUCCUAAGGAGCCUACCAACCCCAGAUGGUCAGAUCCAAUCCUGUGAGAUGCCACUCAGUGCAGGAACUCGGUCUCAACACAAACAAAAGAGAAGCGAGUUGCGGGUGAGUGAGCCACACCUGCUGAUGUCUCUGCGGGCUAACUGAAGUGGGGUUCAGGCCCAAGACCUUGGGAUGUACAGAUUGGCUAAAUGAACAUCAAUUUGUCUACCAAAGUGCCUCUGCGUUACAACCCACUCUCUUCCUCUUCUUUCUGCUGAAGAGCAGGCGUUGGGAUUGCAAAGGAACAUGAUGGAGGCCCCCCUCAUCCGCCCUUAUUCCCCAGCUGGCAUGGGGCACACGAAUCCCUGAUUAGACUCCUGCAAGGUUCAUCAUUCACAAAUCAUGGAUAGCAUCCUUGGACAACAAGCAAGCGGACACCAAAGCGGCAAGGCCGACUCCACUAGAUUUUCCUACUGGUCUGGAGCAGGAGCAGAAGCAUUCACUGCUAGCUUCGGAACAUCAUUUAAAAGGGUGGCUGUGCUAUGCACCAAGUGCUUUCAAGACUGAUUAACAGCUGACGAGAAGCACAAUUAGACAUGGCCCGAAGGAACCUGACCACUGUGCUCCUUGCUCUACGUGCACCAUCUGAACUGCCCAUGGGCAUGCGCGUGAGUGACCUCCGCCUAGAAUUCUCUGCCAUGGCUCACCUGCCCCUAGUCUGCCCCUCGGGCCUGACCAACUCCCACUCAUCACUCAGGGCUCUCUUGGAUGGUAUUCCACCUGGAAGUUGUCCUUUAAUGACAAAAGCAGUCCUUUCCCAGUAGAAAAGUUAAAAACCUAGCAAACUGAUAAACUGUAAUACUGUACAGGAAAAACAUGGUGACCCCUUUUGAAUAGCCUUUUAAGUCUGCUGCAGCUCCCUCCCUGCCCCUCGGCCACACCAAGCACCUCCUGGUCUCCCCUUCCGUCAGGUGUCCAGAGGCUCCCUUCCCUUCCUGACCACAGGUGAUCCUCAGAGGAGGUCUCAUCCCCACAGGUAGCUAUGUCUAAAGAAGAAUUCUGGUGUGGGAAGAAACUGGUGGUGGUCACGCUGUUGAACAACCUUUUUAUCUUUCCUAUAGGGCAGUUCUCAGUAAACAGUCUUAUCCUAAUGAUUUGUUGCCUCACCUUUGACCUUUUCCAGACUUCACAAUCCAAGGGCAGAGCUUUGGGCAUCCUGUUCACUGCUGGAUUCCCAGCUCCUAGCUCCUGCUUAGUCAUGGCAACCAAUUAUGGACUGUUCUGUGUACAACAUGCUCCAGUCCUGACUUAUUUCUUACAAUAGUCCCAAAGGAUACGGACUAGCAUUAUUAGUUACAUGGGUGUGAAGCCAGGCACAGAGGUCAGUUCUCCCACAGAGCUGGUAAGCGGUGUUCAAACAGUAGCUCUAACCCGUUUUCCCUCUUACUGUCAUUUCUAUGUGCUUCUCUAUCUGGGAGCAAAAGAUGUGAACCAGAGUUGGCAAGAAACUCAUCCUGUGAUGUGCCCUCCUGGACAGACCUCCCUGCCCACGGAGGCAACGCUCUGGUGAUGGCGAGAGCCAGGCGUGACUCCCAACAAAAUGGUACCACAUUCAGACCCUCAGACAGGAGCACGUGAGUUGCAAUCCCACCUGCAGCUGCUUUCUGAUUCUGUGACUGGACAUACUCAACGUCUCCGUGCCAUACCUUCCUCAUCCACAAAACGGAGAAAAUUCCACUUCCCCGAUGAGGCCGCUGUGCAGAUUAAAUGAGCUAAUGUCUCUAAAAUGUGAAUACAGCACCUGCGCCCAGCAAAACAAAAUACGUCUCAUAUUGACUCAGCCCUGAUGCUUCAAGACUGGGCUUUAUCCUAAAAUGCAGAUGCUGUGCCUGGAGCUGAACGACGGUGCCAACUAGACAUAAAAAUAACAAUUCCCUAAAAGCAAACAUCCAGCAGAGAAGAGCAAACCAGACCUGGUCUCUCGCAAGGUGUACACGUCCCCACAGACGGAGAUCUCGCGCCAGAUGCCGGGCUGGGACUCCUCUGUGAAGCCCCCUCUGGGAUGCAUCACCAGGACGCCAUUUGUCGUGAGCCCAUCCAUGUGGCCAUCGGGGUUUUUCCAUUUUGCUGCCUUUUCCUGGAGAGAAAAAUCGUGCAAGCUGAAGUGGUCACGCUAAACGCAGGAACCAGCUCACCCACACCAAGACCUUGUCUGAGGCAGGUGAUGUGCCCAGAAGCAGAGGGCAAGACAGAGUGAACCUGGCUUCCUAGAUGUCGUGAACCACCACACCAGCCACCCUGCUGCUGGCCUUCCUUGGCACUUCCUGUAACACAGGAUGGUAGAAAAAAAGCGAGAUUUUAAAGGAAGCCAGCAAACAAAAGAAUUAUUUCCCCCAUUCUUACCCAGCACCAGGGACUGGUUUUCCCUACUAAGUGACUCCACCAGCCUCACAGCACGGAACAAGGACAGCCCCAGCCCAGACAGAGCGACCCAGUGCACAUGACAGUGGUGUAAAAGGCUACACAAGUCAGCCCAAAGGUUUAAAAAGCUGGGCUUAACAUUUCAAUUUUGGAUUUUUAAAAAACUUUUGGGAAAGUCUAAAAAGCUGUUAGUAAUACUUUAUUGGUUUUCUUUCCUUGGUAAGUUUAAAUGCUGCCAGAAAAAAUAUAUUUCAUGAGCAUGACCUUAGAGUUCUAACAAGGCUUUUCAUAGUCAAUAAAUCUAAAUAAUCAUAGUCAAUAAAUCUAAAUAAGAUAGGUACUGCCGUGUCCUGUGGACUGGGAAGUAUUUGUUUGCAAAUAAGGAAAUCCUCAAGAGUUUGCAAAUAAGGAAAUCCUCAAGACAAAACAUUAAAACGUCUAAUCUCUAAUUGGAAAACAGUGGUAAAUGUUAUAUAUGCCAAAGAGACUUCUUAAAUUAAUUUAUACGUAAAUUAAUCAUUUCUUGUUAAAUAUGAUUUAAUGUCCUAACAACAGCGACUUUGGUUCUGAAGCUGUCAGUGGAAGGAACACACAGAGCCCCUAGAUGUGUCAUAAAAGGCCCCGAAACUCAAUUUCCCAGGUAUCUUUACCCUAAUCUCAAAAGUCUAUCUUAAACAUAAGCAAUGUAAUAGUAUUUUUAUCCAAAUGAAUAAAGGUAUAAUAAAUAUAAAUAUAUAAAUACAUAUAUAUCUUGUAUU